GAUGAACGCUGGCGGCGUGCCUAAUACAUGCAAGUCGAGCGAACAGACGAGGAGCUUGCUCCUCUGACGUUAGCGGCGGACGGGUGAGUAACACGUGGAUAACCUACCUAUAAGACUGGGAUAACUUCGGGAAACCGGAGCUAAUACCGGAUAAUAUAUUGAACCGCAUGGUUCAAUAGUGAAAGACGGUUUUGCUGUCACUUAUAGAUGGAUCCGCGCCGCAUUAGCUGGUUGGUAAGGUAACGGCUUACCAAGGCAACGAUGCGUAACCGACCUGAGAGGGUGAUCGGCCACCCUGGAACUGAGACACGGUCCAGACGCCUACGGGAGGCAGCAGUAGGGAAUCUUCCGCAAUGGGCGAAAGCCUGACGGAGCAACGCCGCGUGAGUGAUGAAGGUCUUCGGAUCGUAAAACUCUGUUAUUAGGGAAGAACAAAUGUGUAAGUAACUAUGCACGUCUUGACGGUACCUAAUCAGAAAGCCACGGCUAACUACGUG
rnacentral:rRNA from 1 species